rnacentral:rRNA from 1 species
CUUCGGCAAUGGGCGAAAGCCUGACCGAGCAACGCCGCGUGAAUGAUGAAGGCCUUCGGGUUGUAAAAUUCUGUUAUAAGGGAAGAACGACUUUAGUAGGAAAUGGCUAAAGUGUGACGGUACCUUAUGAGAAAGCCACGGCUAACUACGUGCCAGCAGCCGCGGUAAUACGUAGGGGGCAAGCGUUAUCCGGAUUUACUGGGUGUAAAGGGAGCGUAGGUGGUAUGGUAAGUCAGAUGUGAAAGCCCAGGGCUCAACCCUGGGAUUGCAUUUGAAACUGCCAAACUAGAGUGCAGGAGAGGUAAGUGGAAUUCCUAGUGUAGCGGUGAAAUGCGUAGAUAUUAGGAGGAACACCAGUGGCGAAGGCGGCUUACUGGACUGUAACUGACACUGAGGCUCGAAAGCGUGGGGAGCAAACAGG